rnacentral:rRNA from 1 species
UGGCGGACGGGUGAGUAAUGUCUGGGAAACUGCCCGAUGGAGGGGGAUAACUACUGGAAACGGUAGCUAAUACCGCAUAACGUCGCAAGACCAAAGAGGGGGACCUUCGGGCCCCUUGCCAUCGGAUGUGCCCAGAUGGGAUUAGCUAGUAGGUGGGGUAAAGGCUCACCUAGGCGACGAUCCCUAGCUGGUCUGAGAGGAUGACCAGCCACACUGGAACUGAGACACGGUCCAG